rnacentral:rRNA from 1 species
GACAGAGGGUGCAAACGUUGUUCGGAAUUACUGGGCGUAAAGCGCGUGUAGGCGGCUAAGUAAGUCGGGCGUGAAAUCCCACGGCUCAACCGUGGAAGUGCACUCGAAACUGCAUAGCUAGAGUCCUGGAGAGGAAGGUGGAAUGCUUGGUGUAGAGGUGAAAUUCGUAGAUAUCAAGCGGAACACCGGUGGCGAAGGCGGCCUUCUGGGACAGUGACUGACGCUGAGACGGCGAAAGCGUGGGGAGCAAACAGGG